CCUACGGGGUGCAGCAGUGGGGGAUAUUGCACAAUGGGGGGAACCCUGAUGCAGCGACGCCGCGUGGGUGAAGGAGUGCUUCGGCAUGUAAAGCUCUAUCGGCAGGGAAGAAGCAAGACGGUACUUGACUAAGAAGCCCCGGCUAACUACGUGCCAGCAGCCGCGGUAAUACGUAGGGGGCGCGCGUUAUCAGGAUUCACUGGGUGUAAAGGGAGCGUAGACGGGCAUGGAAGCCAGGGGUGAAAGCCCGGGGCCCAACCCCGGGAUUGCACUUGGAACUGGGCGGCUAGAGUGCGGGAGGGGUAGGCGGAAUUCGUGGUGUAGCGGUGAAAUGCGUAGAUAUCAGGAGGAACACCGGCGGCGAAGGCGGCUUACUGGACUGCGACUGACGUUGAGGCUCGAAAGCGUGGGUAGCAAACAGGAUUAGAUACCCGUGUAGUC
rnacentral:rRNA from 1 species